rnacentral:rRNA from 1 species
UGGGGAAUAUUGGACAAUGGGGGGAACCCUGAUCCAGCCAUGCCGCGUGUGUGAAGAAGGCCUUAUGGUUGUAAAGCACUUUAAGCGAGGAGGAGGCUCUCUUGGUUAAUACCCAAGAUGAGUGGACGUUACUCGCAGAAUAAGCACCGGCUAACUCUGUGCCAGCAGCCGCGGUAAUACAGAGGGUGCGAGCGUUAAUCGGAUUUACUGGGCGUAAAGCGUGCGUAGGCGGCUUUUUAAGUCGGAUGUGAAAUCCCCGAGCUUAACUUGGGAAUUGCAUUCGAUACUGGGAAGCUAGAGUAUAGGAGAGGAUGGUAGAAUUCCAGGUGUAGCGGUGAAAUGCGUAGAGAUCUGGAGGAAUACCGAUGGCGAAGGCAGCCAUCUGGCCUAAUACUGACGCUGAGGUACGAAAGCAUGGGGAGCAAACAGG